rnacentral:rRNA from 1 species
AGAAUCAACGCUGGCGGCGUGCCUAACACAUGCAAGUCGCACGAGAAAGGGUAGCAAUACCUGAGUAAAGUGGCGCACGGGUGAGUAACACGUGAAUUAUCUACCUCCGAGUGGGGAAUAACUGAGAGAAAUCUUAGCUAAUACCGCACAACACUUACGAGUCAAAGCAGCAAUGCGCUUGGAGAGGAGUUCGCGGCCGAUUAGUUAGUUGGCGGGGUAAUGGCCCACCAAGACGAUGAUCGGUA